rnacentral:rRNA from 1 species
CAAAGGUUGACCUCGGAUCAGGUAGGAAUACCCGCUGAACUUAAGCAUAUCAAU